UAAACGACGUGUCUUUUGGCCACGGCGGCCGAGAUGAUGUUCAGGAGGAAGACCGUGGCUUUCCACGCAGGCACCGCUCCGGGGCUCCUCGACCGGGAGCCCAUCGUGACGUCCGCGCCCGGGAGUGAUGCGCAGGUUCAGAGGCCCUGCAGCUGUUGCGCACCGCGAAUGGACCGGUUCCCCUCCUUGACUUGAGUGGAUCGGAGAGGAAAGCAGCCUCGCGGGAGCGCCGGCAGAAAUCCCGUGAGCUGUUGAUGCGCACGCUAAUGGUCGAUUUAACUAAUCAGGCGGGGACGGACGUCCCGGCAUCAACCUUCUGCCUUUUCUUCUUUCCACCUUUCACUUUUCCCCCUUCUCUUCAGUUUAAUGUUUGUUUCUACCUCAGUGUCUGCUAUUCAUCAUUAUCUGCUCGCUCUCCGGAACCUUUUCCCUCCUUUUCCACACAGUCGCCAUCCAUCAUCUGUCCUAGUCGCUGCUCUCAUUGAUCCUCUCAUUACUGGUCAAAUAUGUUUUUUUCCUUUGUUUCCUGGCACAGUUUGUCUUAGCAGAUAUUGUGUUACACUGCCGAGGUUGUCACAUCCAGGUGGACCUAGCUUCAAAUGCAGCGUUGCCUGUGUCUAUCCCCAUUUACUGUAAAUGUGCAACUAUUAAAGCUUUCAUUUGGUGUAAAAUGUC